AGAGUUUGAUCAUGGCUCAGGAUUAACGCUGGCGGCGUGCCUAAUGCAUGCAAGUCGAACGUGGUCCCUUCGGGGGCAAACGUGGCGGACGGGUGAGGAACACGUGGGGAACCUGCCCACUGGUGGGGGGUAGCCCGCGGAAACGCGGGGUAAUUCCGCAUACGCUGCACGGGGGGUAGCCCGGUGCAGGAAAGGGACCUUCGGGUCUCGCCGGUGGAGGGGCCUGCGUCCGAUUAGCUAGUUGGUGGGGUAACGGCCUACCAAGGCGGUGAUCGGUAGCUGGUCUGAGAGGACGGCCAGCCACAGGGGGACUGAGACACGGCCCCCACUCCUACGGGAGGCAGCAGCAAGGAGUUUUCCGCAAUGGGCGCAAGCCUGACGGAGCAACGCCGCGUGGGGGAUGACGCCCUUCGGGGUGUAAACCCCUUUUCUUGGGGACGAAGCAGUGACGGUACCCGAGGAAGAAGGCCCGGCUAACUACGUGCCAGCAGCCGCGGUAAUUC
rnacentral:rRNA from 1 species